rnacentral:snRNA from 1 species
GGCAUCAGCGUGCUCCGG